rnacentral:rRNA from 2 species
GGUUGACCUCGGAUCGGGUAGGGA